UACGGAGGAUGCGAGCGUUAUCCGGAUUUAUUGGGUUUAAAGGGUGCGUAGGCGGGAUAAUAAGUCAGUGGUGAAACCCUGCAGCUUAACUGUAGACUUGCCAUUGAUACUGUUACUCUUGAGUGUGGUCAAGGUAGGCGGAAUGUGUAAUGUAGCGGUGAAAUGCUUAGAUAUUACACAGAACACCGAUUGCGAAGGCAGCUUGCUGGGCCAUUACUGACGCUGAUGCACGAAAGCGUGGGGAUCGAACAGGAUUAGAUACCCUGGUAGUCCACGCCGUAAACGAUGAUCACUCGCUGUUAGCGAUACACAGUUAGCGGCUAAGCAAAAGCAUUAAGUGAUCCACCUGGGGAGUACGGCCGCAAGGCUGAAACUCAAAGGAAUUGACGGGGGCCCGCACAAGCGGAGGAACAUGUGGUUUAAUUCGAUGAUACGCGAGGAACCUUACCUGGGCUUAAAUGUAGAGUGCAUUAGUGGGAAACCAUUAUUUUCUUCGGAACUCUCUGCAAGGUGCUGCAUGGUUGUCGUCAGCUCGUGCCGUGAGGUGUCGGGUUAAGUCCCAUAACGAGCGCAACCCUUAUCGUUAGUUGCCAGCGGGUAAAGCCGGGAACUCUAACGAAACUGCCGGUGUAAACCGAGAGGAAGGUGGGGAUGACGUCAAAUCAGCACGGCCCUUAUGUCCAGGGCUACACACGUGUUACAAUGGCCGGUACAGAGGGCAGCUACCUGUUGACAGGAUGCGAAUCUCGAAAGCCGGUCUCAGUUCGGAUCGGAGUCUGCAACUCGACUCCGUGAAGCUGGAUUCGCUAGUAAUCGCGCAUCAGCCAUGGCGCGGUGAAUACGUUCCCGGGCCUUGUACACACCGCCCGUCAAGCCAUGGAAGUUGGGGGUACCUGAAGUCCGUAACCGUAAGGAGCGGCCUAGGGUAAAACCAGUGACUGGGGCU
rnacentral:rRNA from 1 species